AACGUAGGAGGCAAGCGUUAUCCGGAUUCACUGGGCGUAAAGCGCGUGUAGGUGGUUCGUUAAGUCGCUGGUGAAAGCCCCUGGCUCAACUGGGGGAGGUCUGGCGAAACUGGCGGACUCGAGGGUCCGAGAGGAAGGUGGAAUUCCCGGUGUAGCGGUGGAAUGCGUAGAGAUCGGGAGGAACACCAGUGGCGAAAGCGGCCUUCUGGCGGGCUUCUGACACUGAGACGCGAAAGCGUGGGGAGCAAACGGG
rnacentral:rRNA from 1 species